UACGUAGGGUGCAAGCGUUAAUCGGAAUUACUGGGCGUAAAGCGUGCGCAGGCGGUUAUGUAAGACAGUUGUGAAAUCCCCGGGCUCAACCUGGGAAUUGCAUCUGUGACUGCAUAGCUAGAGUACGGUAGAGGGGGAUGGAAUUCCGCGUGUAGCAGUGAAAUGCGUAGAUAUGCGGAGGAACACCGAUGGCGAAGGCAAUCCCCUGGACCUGUACUGACGCUCAUGCACGAAAGGCGUGGGGAGCAAACAGG
rnacentral:rRNA from 1 species